rnacentral:lncRNA from 1 species
GUGGAGGAGCCCUCCGUCGAGAAACGACAUCGUUUCUCCGACUUGGGUUGUGUCGUUGACGUACUUGAGCGCUGACCAUGUGUCGUAUUGGUAAACGAGAGCAGCGCUCAUCCAAGCGCGAGCGUCUUUGAUUCGGCCACGUGUCAGAGCGUGAUCCGCCCAUAGUGUGCGGCGUUUGGAGUAAGAGAGUAGCUCGAGGCACGUGUUCGCGGCGUUGGUGCGGUUUAGAUUACCUACGGACGCGCCCAGGAUAGACUUGAGUUUGGACUGAGCUGUUUCGAGUUUUUUGAAAGAGACGGAGAUCGCUGAGUGGAUGAUCUGAGGUGGGGUGGGAUCCGGAGGGACAAGACCUGGUUGGGAUAGUGAAGAGAGGCAUUGGUCGGGGUAACGAGUUGCGUUGCAGGCGAGACGGAUCUGAGAGGUAGUAGACGAGGAGGGAUUGAGCGGAGGAGACUUGUGGUGGUGAUAAGUUUGUAACUCGGAACUCUCGUAUCACACAAUCAAUCUCGAAUAAGUAAAGAAACUCUCGAUCUUAUUGAAACCCAAACCAACGUUUACAAACGAAAAGGAUAAAAGGAUAAGCUGAUAAAGUGAAUCUCAGGUCAUGAUCUCAUGGCGAUCCGUGCCUGAUGAUUCAAUCACGAUCUCAUGGCGAUCGUGAUGAAAGGAGACUCAUGGCGUCUACACUCUCUACAAUAUACAGCAUAAGAAACUAGCACGAAGAAGCCACGUUAUUUAUAUGACAUGAAGAAGUCUUGAGCAAAGACUCUAUUCCACUCAGAGUCUUUGCUAUCCACGUUGACCAUCCUUGACUCAUAUGUUUCUUCUCCCUCAAGCUUCUAUCCUCCUCAUUGCUCUGUUCUUCCUACGAAGUGGAACCUAUCAAUACCCCGCCCUUUCAGAUGCAGCUUGUCCUCAAGCUGAAAACAUAGAAGGUGUUUGUGGCGGCACUUGGAAUGAAGCACAUUACCACCAGCUGAACUUCUCCAAUACUCCCAUACGUUCACCAUCCUCAGGAAAGAUGGUUGCAGCCUUUCUCCACUUUGAAAGCUCCUUAAGUACAUUUCCUUUCCCUAGUUCAAUCAGCUCCCUCGCGUUUGUACUGGACAAGAACGUGAGUUCAUAUUGCUCAGGGUUGUAUUUAAACAUCCAAGAUUUAAAGAAUUUCAUCUGAGGACUCCGAGCACCACUGUGAAAAUCAGAGUAGAAACCACUCAAAACCAAUCCAGACUGUGCCUGAAACAGAAUCCCUGGUUCAUUUGUCUGCAGCAAAUCCGUCUUUGUACGUAAUUCAUCAACUUGAAGACAUUUUGGCAGUGAUUUAUAUGUAAGCCGCGCUUCUGGUGAAGAACGUAACCAAGCUUCCAAUGGAGCACUCUCAAGACCUGAUUUAAUCUUUAACAAAGCAACAGGGUUGUCAUGAAGCGCAUUCUCAUUUUGUGAAUUCCUAAGCCUCUGCGUAUUCCCAAUUGUCAGCUUGAUCUUGAAAGUAGUGCCACUGUUCUUCUCUAUUUGAGUCAUGAGCUUUCCGUCACUCCAAGUACCUGCACCACCCACUGGAAAGUAGACAUUACUCUCCAUAUCCAAAUUCUUACAGACUACCGGAGCUCCAGUAUCAUGUCCUUUUUCUGCUACUGGUUGCCCUCUUCCAGGCCGUGUAAAGUCUGCACCAAAUGGCACCUUUGGUUUGAAUUUGAACUUCCAAGAUUUGGAUUUCUUCUGCUGGUUUAUGGCUUGUUGUAAUACAUCUCUCAGAACAAACAUUUGAGCAAACACAUUGUAGGCGUUUAGAGUAGAGCCCACACAUGUUGUUUGCGCAUAAAACGCAUCCUCUUUCGAUGGUAUUAGAACAAUGAAUGGACUAACGUCUUGCUUCUGAACCUCAAACACAGUAUCUGUUUCCAGAUACUCCAACAAUUUUUCUCUAUGGCCAGAUUCAAGAACAGAUUUUGAUACCAGAGGUUGUAACAUUGGCAUGUCCUCGUGGUCAACUUCAAUCACCAGAUUCUGAAUUGAGUCUCCUGCUGGAAUCUUCUUUGUCUCCACUGGUAUCUUUACAGGACUUGAUUCUAGCUCUGCGUCAGUCAGAGGUUGAUUGAUAGACUCUGCCUCACGAACAACUUCAUUUCUCAUAUCAGAAUCUUGUGCUUCUUGUGAAUCCUCUUCUUGAAUCAAGUCUUCCACUGUAGAUACCAGAGACACCAAUUCUUCUGCACGAUCAAUCACUGGAACUGUCUCUCUCUCAUGAAGAAACUCUGUUGCACCAGUUAAGCUUUCCGUAGGAACAGUCUCUAGAGUUGAUAUGUGGUUCAGAAACACUGUUGGUGAAGAACAAGUUUUCACUAGAGGCAUCUCAAGAACCUCUGGAGUUCUCACUGUCUCCAAUGAUUUAUUUGGUUCAACUACAGUCUGCGAAAUCACUUCCGUCGUCCGUGUUGCUGCUUGUCGAGAACAUCUUUUUACCGGAGAAAAACGAGCCACCAGCCUGCGCUUAAACUCACACCAGGUUCUGAAUCCACCAAAGUAAAGUUCCUUCUUGUACCAAAAGAAUGCUUCUCCUUCAAGGCACUCAGACAACCUUCCUAAUCUCUCAUCCUCGACAACGUGACAACUCUGAAAAUAUUUCUCUAGUCUCAAGAGCCAGCCAAAUGGACUAGAUCCAUUGAAGCGCGGCAUAGCAAUCUUCGUGACGAAACUAUUGCUACGUUCAUAGUGAGGAAGAUCAGAUUCCAUAGAAGGAUGAGAUACCUGAAUCGGAUCAAUGGAAGUCGUAGCAAUUGUUGUUCCCGUCGUGGCGAUCUGGGUAAGCUGAUCAAAACGCUGAUCCACUGAAUCGAAUCUGGUCUCAUAAGUACCCAGACACUUCCCAAUUGAUGAUAAAUGAUGAUCCGCUACAUGAGAAAGCUUCGUCUUCAAAAACUCUUCUGCAACAUCUUGUUGUGCUCUGAUCUUACAACAACGCUCUACGAAUCGUGUAUUAUCCUCUAUCAAUCGAAGCUUCUCUGGAUCGUCAUCAUCCCCAAACUUGAACAACAAGGCAACCUUCAACGAGUACCAGCUGUGGAAAGGCAAUCGCCAGUGCUGGAUAUACGUUUUCGCAUCUCCGGAGAUUAAGGUCUUCCCCAAACUCACCUUCUGCGAUUCUGAUAGCCUCACCUGUGCAAACCUCUUUUCCAUCCAAUCGAUCCAUUGACGUAACGCGAAACCUUCGAAAAUAGGAAUCUCCACGAAACUCAUGGCGUUUGAUUCGAUCUAGCUCACGAACGCACCAAUUUGAUAAGUUUGUAACUCGGAACUCUCGUAUCACACAAUCAAUCUCGAAUAAGUAAAGAAACUCUCGAUCUUAUUGAAACCCAAACCAACGUUUACAAACGAAAAGGAUAAAAGGAUAAGCUGAUAAAGUGAAUCUCAGGUCAUGAUCUCAUGGCGAUCCGUGCCUGAUGAUUCAAUCACGAUCUCAUGGCGAUCGUGAUGAAAGGAGACUCAUGGCGUCUACACUCUCUACAAUAUACAGCAUAAGAAACUAGCACGAAGAAGCCACGUUAUUUAUAUGACAUGAAGAAGUCUUGAGCAAAGACUCUAUUCCACUCAGAGUCUUUGCUAUCCACGUUGACCAUCCUUGACUCAUAUGUUUCUUCUCCCUCAAGCUUCUAUCCUCCUCAUUGCUCUGUUCUUCCUACGAAGUGGAACCUAUCAGGUGGUGAUGGUGGGGACGGGAGGAGGAAGAGGGAGAUGCUAAGAGGAAGAGAGAGAAGAGAAGGAUGAGAGUGGAGGACAUGGCGAUGAUUAAGAGACAGAAUAUGCCAUUAGAGAACGAUGUGUAUAUAUGGAAAUGAAUUAAAAUUUUGAGGAAUUGUUUUUUUUAAAAGCGGGAAUUAAAAUUAAAAAAUGGAGAGAGAUGGAUUACAGUCACAGACCAUUAGAGUCACGGGCGAGCAUAGUGGAACGAUCAUGCG